GAGGUUGUGGCUCAGUGGUAGAGCGCUCGCCUAGCACAUGCGAGGCCCUGGGUUUGAUCCUCAGCACCACA
rnacentral:tRNA from 1 species